UAUGACUUAUUACGGCUUUUCCAUUACCUCUUUAGUAUGUGUUUUUACCUGUUUAUAUUAUAUUUUAAACUCGUAUUAUAAAUGGGAUAUGUUUUUAUAUUGUUAACGUGAUAUUUAUCUCCUUACAGUGGCUAUGCGCUGUUUCUUGCUUAUUCAAAAUCGCUAUAUAGGCAUGAUCUUGCUUAUUUACCGUCUAAUUUAAUGUUUUAAUUAUAGUUAACAAAGGCUUAACUUU
rnacentral:misc_RNA from 1 species